rnacentral:rRNA from 1 species
AUUGAACGCUGGCGGCAUGCUUUACACAUGCAAGUCGAACGGCAGCGCGGGCUUCGGCCUGGCGGCGAGUGGCGAACGGGUGAGUAAUGCAUCGGAACGUGCCCAGUAGUGGGGGAUAGCCCGGCGAAAGCCGGAUUAAUACCGCAUACGACCUGAGGGUGAAAGCGGGGGACCGAAAGGCCUCGCGCUAUUGGAGCGGCCGAUGUCGGAUUAGCUAGUUGGUGGGGUAAAGGCUUACCAAGGCGACGAUCCGUAGCUGGUCUGAGAGGACGACCAGCCACACUGGGACAGAGACACGGCCCAGACUCCUACGGGAGGCAGCAGUGGGGAAUUUUGGACAAUGGGGGCAACCCUGAUCCAGCCAUGCCGCGUGCGGGAAGAAGGCCUUCGGGUUGUAAACCGCUUUUGUUCGGGAAGAAAUCCUCUGGGCUAAUACCCCGGGGGGAUGACGGUACCGGAAGAAUAAGCACCGGCUAACUACGUG